rnacentral:rRNA from 1 species
AGAGUUUGAUCCUGGCUCAGAACGAACGCUGGCGGCAGGCUUAAUACAUGCAAGUCGAACGGCUGUAGCAAUACAGCAGUGGCAGACGGGUGAGUAACACGUGGGAACCUACCUAGGGGUACGGAAUAACUCAGGGAAACUUGUGCUAAUACCGUAUACGACCUCAGGGUGAAAGAUUUAUCGCCCCUAGAUGGGCCCGCGCUGGAUUAGCUAGUUGGUGGGGUAAAAGCCUACCAAGGCGACGAUCCAUAGCUGGUCUGAGAGGAUGAUCAGCCACACUGGGACUGAGACACGGCCCAGACUCCUACGGGAGGCAGCAGUAGGGAAUCUUGGACAAUGGGCGAAAGCCUGAUCCAGCCAUGCCGCGUGAGUGAUGAAGGCCUUAGGGUUGUAAAGCUCUUUCGCCAGGGAAGAUAAUGACGGUACCUGGAUAAGAAGCCCCGGCUAACUUCGUGCCAGCAGCCGCGGUAAUACGAAGGGGGCUAGCGUUGUUCGGAAUUACUGGGCGUAAAGCGCACGUAGGCGGCAUUCCAAGUUGGAGGUGAAAUCCCCGGGCUUAACC